rnacentral:rRNA from 1 species
CCCUUAGAUGUUCUGGGCCGCACGCGCGCUACACUGACGAUGGCAACGAGUUUUUCCUUCGCCGAAAGGUGUGGGUAAUCUUUUGAAACAUCGUCGUGCUGGGGAUAGAUCAUUGCAAUUUUUGAUCUUGAACGAGGAAUUCCUAGUAAGCGCGAGUCAUCAGCUCGCGUUGAUUACGUCCCUGCCCUUUGUACACACCGCCCGGCGCUACUACCGAUUGAAUGGUUUAGUGAGGACUCCUGAUUGGCGCCGCCGCCCCGGCAACGGAGCAGCGGACUGCCGAAAAGUUGUUCAAACUUGAUCAUUUAGAGGAAGUAAAAGUCGUAACA